GGUAAGACAAGCGCCUGUUAUAUCCACGAUCAUGGAUGACAAUUUGUCAAACAUGAUUUUGCUGUUAUCUAACUCUUUCCUAUCAGAAUUUUGAAGAAGUGUUUCACAUACUCUGUACAUACAGUUUGCUGCCAACAUAUUGGUAGGCCAUCUUGAGGGUGAUUCCUUUAAACAAGCAUUCAAAUCUUUCUUUCUAAAUUCGAUGAAUAUUUGCUUUGAUUUCUCAGAGAGUCCUUCAAGCACGUCUUUUGGAUUUUGUCCUUCAGUGGCUGUCGUGCGGAGAUCGACAUCCAGCCACUUGUAACAUAAGUCAACUCCUACCCACACCAACUCUGCCG
rnacentral:lncRNA from 1 species